rnacentral:lncRNA from 1 species
GAGCUCUGUUCUUGAGACGCGAGUCUGCCGAAACUCCCAGGCGAAUAAAGCCAAAUCCUUCCUUAACCUGGUGUCUGAGGGGUUUUGUCCACGGCUCAUCCUGCUACCUUUCUUAGUUCCCUGACCGGGAAAUCGGGUGACUGAUGGACGGUGGAGGCAGCCCCUUAGGCAGUUUAGGCCUGCCCUGUGAAGUAUCCCUGUGGGCGGCUCUGGCCAGCUUGAGUGACGCAGAUCCUGAGAGCGCUCCUGGGUAGGUAUUUGCCCCGGUGGGAUGCCUUAUCAGAGUGGUGCAUGGCAGGCCCCCGUGGAGGAUCAACGCAGUGGCUGAACACUGGGAAGGAACUGGCACUUGGAGUCUGGACAACUGGAAUACGGUGAUCGGGUAUGGAUCACGGAUUGGAACAUAGCCUCCUUGCAGCCACGGUGGAGAGGACCCCAGACCAUCGUCUUGACCACUCCCACAGCCAUAAAGGUAGAAGGAAUCCCAGCCUGGAUUCACCACAGCCAUGUAAAACCUAAAGCAUCUGAGACCUGGGAGGUGAGACCAAGCUUGGACAACCCAUGCAAGAUGACUUUGAAGAAGAUGACAAGCCCUGCUCCAGUCACACCUGGAAGCUGACUGGUCCGUGCAUGGCUGAAGCAUGAGGAAACUCAUCGUGGGACUCAUUUUCCUAAAAUUUUGGACUUGUACAGUAAGG